ensembl:lncRNA
CGCUCCUCCCCCAGCUUCCUCUGGGGCCAGGCCCGGGGGCUGGGCGUCAAGGACACCCCCUCCUCACUGCAGUCCCGCCACCCUUUCCAGCGCCGCCCCCACGGGAACGCAGCGAGGGGACAUCAGGCCCCCUCCCACCCCACCGAUCCCCACAGCCCCGUGGCCGCCCGGGUCCCGGGUCCCCAGCACAGGUCCCGGCCCGUCUGAGUCUGCGUGGGCCUUCUGCACCUCGAAAGCCGCGACUGAACGCCUGCAGUCAUAGAAAUUGGAGCCCUGGACCCCGAAAACAAGCUGUCGCACCUCAAAAGAUGGGUUGGUGUUUGGGUCAGUGGUGAGUGUAGGCCUUGAAUGCAUGAGGCCCUGGUUGCAUCCCCAGCACCACACAACAAAACUUGAAAGGCCCGCUGUUCCUACUGUCUCCCGGGAAGAUCUCUCCAGGCACAGGGUUCCAGCCCGGAAGAGGUGGUGCACACUGUGGAGACUGAGACAGGAGGAUCGCAAAUUCAAGCCCAGCAUGAGCACCUCAGGCUGGACCUGUCUGUGCCCAGCCCUUCCCCCUGCAGGAGUGACAGGAGGUGGCUGGGGUCGCCAGGGCUGGCAGGCCCAGCUGGGACUGACCUGUCUCCUGGGCUCCAAAGCCGCCUCCCUUCUGCCUCCCGGUUGCUGCUUCCAUGCGGACCGGGGCUAGCUUUGUCACGGUUGAUUGUCACUUGCCCCAGCCACCAUCCAGAUCCAACCCCAGGACAGCACAGUGGGGCCUGGCGGGUGCAUUUGUCUCUCUCCAAGGAGGGGAGCCAGGCACCACCCCCUCCUUGCUGAAGUGGGGCCGGGCCGGGUGGGGAACAGGCCGGUGGCCAUGCUGCCCCUGCCCAGCUGUGUGUGGGAGCCAGCCGCAACUCCCAGACCCAUUUCCUCACAGAGGCUGUAAUUAUGGGUAAUUUUCUAAAUGCAACACAAAAAUUAAACCCCAAACACCGGGAGAGGCUCCUACAGCAGCUGGUGGAAGCAGAGGGGAGGUCGGGGCUCGGGUCGGGGGCACCGGCCUGGGCUUCGGACAGCACCAAGGGUCCUCCCCAGGCCCUGGGUUCCGAAACGGGGACUGUGCCCAAGGUCCAGCGCCUGGAGCAGAGCCUGAGUCAGAACCCCAGCCGUGCCCUGUAGCCUUGAUCAGCUGCAAGUAAGGCUGGUGACCUUUCUUGGGCCUCCCCAAACCUGCAAGGGGACGUUCUUUCGAGAGAAGGAGGCUGGCCCAGGAGUCUCUGCCAAAACCCGCCAUAUCCAUCCUUGCUACACUUCCGCUGAGCCGUGGGCGCUGCUACCUCCCUAGAGCCUUCCGUGGCUCCCGUGGCCCAUGACUCAAGUCCUGCACUCUGCCCUGUGCCUGCGACCCCACUAGAGGACCAGGCACUGGCAACCGUGAGUCCCCCUUCCGGUCACCCAGGACCCCUCCCACAGCCCCACAGAGAGGCAGCGUCUGGGGGAGGGCACCCGUUCUGUCCCCCUGAGGUUCCUCCACCAGGUCACCGCUACCUCGCCUGGUGGCUAUUGUCCCCUGUGGAGGUCCUCCCCAGGCAAGGAAUGCUUCCUGGGGUGACCUCCCUGACAGCGCCCUCAUUCUGAAAGUCGAACUUGCCAUCCUUCUGCCUCAGCCUCCUUAGCCUAGAAGAGAGGCGCUCAUAGGGCCGCCUGGCUGUGACAUGUCAUUCUUUAACUUCGUGUGUCUGUUGUCUGCACCCUAGGAACCUCCUACUUUCUCCGAGGGCAGGCAUUUGAGUGUGUUACUUAGUUCCGCGUCCCUCCCGCCUAAGGGACGUGCGAGCACACAGUAGGCACUCAAUAAACUCCCCCCAGGGCUGAGGUGGGGCGUGUCCAGGAGAGGGCGGGCGAGGAGACGCGCGUUUCUGCCCCAACAAGGCCACCUGGACUGCAGUUCCGAGAGUGGCCACACAGUGGCGCCAGAGAGCGCUAGUUCCUGAGGAUCCCAGCCCCGUUCUUCCUUUGGAGUCCCGGUGGCCCCCCACCCUGACACCCCGAGUUCUCCGAGUGGAAGCUGCCUCCUGGUCCUUCACUGAUGCAUGAUUCUGCUGCACGCCUCCUGCCUCAGCCUCCAGAGUGCUGGGAUCACAGUGUCCCCAAGAAUUCAGGGGCAUCCGGAAAGCUUCUGGGGCGGUGAAGCAUGCACACGGGGGCAGCGUCCCCCCCAGACCAGUGCUGUCCCGGGGGACCAGUCGUCCUCCAGGUGUGGAAGGGCUGCUCCCCAGGGAGCCUGUGGCCCGAGACUCUGUCAGAUCUGCCUUCAUGGGGGACCCUGGCUGCUCAGCCACCCUUGGCUGCCUGGAGCCACAGCCUGUUCCUGUCCCCUCCCCAGGGCACUCAGUGGCUUCUAAAAUUUUACCAUCACC